rnacentral:rRNA from 1 species
GUAACGCGUAUGCAACCUACCUUCAACUGGGAGAUAGCCCCUCGAAAGAGGGAUUAAUACCCCAUAGAAAUCAGAUGUCGCAUGGCAUUUGGUUUAAAGCUCCGGCGGUUGAAGAUGGGCAUGCGUGACAUUAGUUAGUUGGUGAGGUAACGGCUCACCAAGACUUCGAUGUCUAGGGGUUCUGAGAGGAUGAUCCCCCACACUGGUACUGAGACACGGACCAGACUCCUACGGGAGGCAGCAGUAAGGAAUAUUGGUCAAUGGACGCAAGUCUGAACCAGCCAUGCCGCGUGCAGGAUGACGGCCCUAUGGGUUGUAAACUGCUUUUAUACGGGAAUAAACCCAGGUACGUGUACCUGGCUGAAUGUACCGUAAGAAUAAGGAUCGGCUAACUCCGUGCCAGCAGCCGCGGUAAUACGGAGGAUCCAAGCGUUAUCCGGAUUCAUUGGGUUUAAAGGGUGCGUAGGCGGAUUUGUAAGUCAGUGGUGAAAUCCUACAGCUUAACUGUAGAACUGCCAUUGAUACUGCAAGUCUUGAGUGUGUUUGAAGUGGGCGGAAUGUGUCAUGUAGCGGUGAAAUGCAUAGAUAUGACACAGAACACCAAUUGCGUAGGCAGCUCACUAAGCCACAACUGACGCUGAGGCA